UACGUAGGGGGCUAGCGUUAUCCAGAUUUACUGGGCGUAAAGCGUGCGCAGGCGGUUUUGUAAGACUGUCGUGAAAUCCCCGGGCUCAACCUGGGAAUGGCGAUGGUGACUGCAAGGCUAGAGUUUGGCAGAGGGGGGUAGAAUUCCACGUGUAGCAGUGAAAUGCGUAGAUAUGUGGAGGAACACCGAUGGCGAAGGCAGCCCCCUGGGUCAAAACUGACGCUCAUGCACGAAAGCGUGGGGAGCAAACAGG
rnacentral:rRNA from 1 species